UACGUAGGGGGCAAGCGUUGUCCGAAUUUAUUGGGCGUAAAGAGCGUGUAGGCGGCCUGAAAGGUCAGCUGUGAAAACUCGAGGCUCAACCUCGAGACGUCGGUUGAAACCAUCUGGCUAGAGUCCGGAAGAGGAGUGUGGAAUUCCCGGUGUAGCGGUGAAAUGCGCAGAUAUCGGGAAGAACACCCGUGGCGAAGGCGGCACUCUGGGACGGUACUGACGCUGAGACGCGGAAAGCGUGGGGAGCGAACGAGG
rnacentral:rRNA from 1 species